AACGAACGCUGGCGGCAUGCCUAACACAUGCAAGUCGAACGAGACCUUCGGGUCUAGUGGCGCACGGGUGCGUAACGCGUGGGAACCUGCCCUUAGGUUCGGAAUAACUCCCCGAAAGGGGUGCUAAUACCGGAUAAUGUCUUCGGACCAAAGAUUUAUCGCCUUUGGAUGGGCCCGCGUUGGAUUAGCUAGUUGGUAGGGUAAAAGCCUACCAAGGCGACGAUCCAUAGCUGGUCUGAGAGGAUGAUCAGCCACACUGGGACUGAGACACGGCCCAAACUCCUACGGGAGGCAGCAGUGGGGAAUAUUGGACAAUGGGCGAAAGCCUGAUCCAGCAAUGCCGCGUGAGUGAUGAAGGCCUUAGGGUUGUAAAGCUCUUUUACCCGGGAUGAUAAUGACAGUACCGGGAGAAUAAGCCCCGGCUAACUCCGUG
rnacentral:rRNA from 1 species